rnacentral:rRNA from 1 species
AUUGAACGCUGGCGGCAGGCUUAACACAUGCAAGUCGAGCGGGGUGAUGGUGCUUGCACUAUCACUUAGCGGCGGACGGGUGAGGAAUGCUUAGGAAUCUGCCUAUUAGUGGGGGACAACAUCUCGAAAGGGAUGCUAAUACCGCAUACGUCCUACGAGAGAAAGCAGGGGAUCUCUUGUGACCUUGCGCUAAUAGAUGAGCCUCAGUCGGAUUAGCUAGUUGGUGGGGUAAAGGCCUACCAAGGCGACGAUGUGUAGCGGGUCUGAGAGGAUGAUCCGCCACACUGGGACUGAGACACGGCCCAGACUCCUACGGGAGGCAGCAGUGGGGAAUAUUGGACAAUCGGGGGAACCCUGAUCCAGCCAUGCCGCGUGUGUGAAGAAGGCCUUAUGGUUGUAAAGCACUUUAAGCGAGGAGGAGGCUCUUUUGGUUAAUACCCAAGAUGAGUGGACGUUACUCGCAGAAUAAGCACCGGCUAACUCUGUGCCAGCCGCCGCCGUAA